rnacentral:snoRNA from 1 species
AUCCCAUGAUGAGGAAACUUACGAAGUAACUCCUUGAAUCACUCCCAAGUCUCAUACAAAGAUUCGUCGUCCAAUUGUUGGAAAGUUGUGAUAUCGUUCCUUAACUU